GUGGUCUGGGUUACGGCUCCUGGUUGUGGUACUUGGCGGCCCCGCUCGGACCUAGAGAAAACUCCCGGGGAGUCCCCGGGCAGUAACAGGUGUGGGCAUCUCCUAGUGUCUUAUGCUCAUGUAUGAUACUGCGCACAGUC